GAUGAACGCUGGCGGCGUGCUUAACACAUGCAAGUCGAACGAUGAACCUCACUUGUGGGGGGAUUAGUGGCGAACGGGUGAGUAACACGUGAGUAACCUGCCCUUGACUCUGGGAUAAGCCUGGGAAACCGGGUCUAAUACUGGAUACGACCUUCUGGCGCAUGCCAUGUUGGUGGAAAGCUUUUGUGGUUUUGGAUGGACUCGCGGCCUAUCAGCUUGUUGGUGGGGUAAUGGCCUACCAAGGCGACGACGGGUAGCCGGCCUGAGAGGGUGACCGGCCACACUGGGACUGAGACACGGCCCAGACUCCUACGGGAGGCAGCAGUGGGGAAUAUUGCACAAUGGGCGCAAGCCUGAUGCAGCGACGCCGCGUGAGGGAUGAAGGCCUUCGGGGUGUAAACCUCUUUCAGUAGGGAAGAAGCCGGCUUUUGGGUUGGUGACGGUACCUGCAGAAGAAGCGCCGGCUAACUACGUG
rnacentral:rRNA from 1 species